AGUAAAAAUGAUAUCAGUCUUUCAGUCUGUUCCAGCUUUGUCAUGCUUUCACUUGCUUCCUCCUCAGUGUGUGGCUGUUACAGUAUGUGAAGGGGGAGGUUUUCACUGCACGCACAUCUGUUGCAAGAUAUGCACAGGAAGGUUUCUGGAGCGCACUGAGAAUAAGUGGAUAUCCCUCUUUCUUUCUUUUUUUUUUUUGAUCUAUGUCCUAUUAUAAAAAGUUUGAGAUGUGGAGCCAUUUGGAACUUAAAACGGGAACACAGAGGAACCUGAUUCUACAAAAGGUUCAAACAUAUGUGGCCUGAUGCCCGAGAUACCAACUAGCUUUUUGUCCUCGUCCACCUCCUCCAUGAGUGGGGGUGAAGUAUGAAGCGAACGAUCCUCAACGUUUACCAUCAGAUUUUUCGGCUUUAUCCUGCAUGAUUCUGAGCUCUGAAGUCUCUCUCAAAGUUACUUUGUUGAGAUAUUUCAGUCUGGAGCAAGGCGGUGGACAGACUCAUGGACCGACCAACAUCGUUAUCCCCAGAGCCACGGUGAGUAAGUAAUAACACUACAAGAUAGCUGAAAAAGUUUAGUGAGCUGUGUAUUUUUUUUCAGUGUUGUUAGAGUUGCAUUAAAACUCACACUGGUCUGCAACUUGCCGUGUGUGUAUGUUCUUAAAGUUCGAAUUUUGUUAAUGCAUAU